CAAACAUGAAUUGGAAAAAAAAAACUAAAAAAACGGUUUAUAACUCUAGUUUUAUCAUCGUAGCUUUUAUGGUAUCAAGACUAAUAUGAUCGUCAUAAUAUGUAUAUGUAAAACAGUUUAUGAAUGAUGUGAUCAAUAGUUGUGCAAGGAUUGUACAAUUGUUCUUACUCAUGCAUAUUAGUUGUCACUUAGAAUACAUAAUUUUAUAUGUAUAUAUAUCAAAUCUUUAAAUAGAUAGACUCAACUGCUUCUCAUAAUAUUCUUACAACACAAAACCAUUAUUAGAGAGGAUCUCCGAGUACCGCUGUCCACCGCCACCAACACCUAGUCCUCUUCAUUCUUGAUUUGGAGACAUUCAUUGUAGGCACCGCUUUGAUUGGCGUUUACUCCAUAACCCCAUGGUUGGGGAAACUAUAGCCACCUUGAGUUCCUUGAUAAGGACUGUAACCACCAGAAUUCCCAUUAGUCGCUUGAUUUCCUUGAUAGUAACCACCGGAGUUUUUAUAACUGUUUUGAUUCACUUGAUAACCACCGGAGUUUACAUUACCAAUUCCUUGAUAACCGCCAGAACCAGGAGAAUUUCUUUACCGCCGGAGUCGGCAGGAUUUCCUUGAUAACCGACGGACUGGCAGGAUUCCUUGAUAGCCACCGAUGUUUCCAUGAUUGGGGCUAUCAUAACCGGCUAGAUCUCCUUGAUAACCGUCGGAGUAACCCGCUUUAUUGGGUUUUAUUCUUCAUUAUAAUUAUUAGCCCACCACACAAACAUAUUUAACAAUGUCUUAAGUUCCAACAAUCUAUUUUACUAUCAUAACAUAAACUUGAUUAACACUUACUACACAGCAAGCAAUAAUUAAUU
rnacentral:sRNA from 1 species